rnacentral:rRNA from 1 species
UGGGGAAUCUUCGGCAAUGGACGAAAGUCUGACCGAGCAACGCCGCGUGAGUGAAGAAGGUUUUCGGAUCGUAAAACUCUGUUGUUAGAGAAGAACAAGGACGUUAGUAACUGAACGUCCCCUGACGGUAUCUAACCAGAAAGCCACGGCUAACUACGUGCCAGCAGCCGCGGUAAUACGUAGGUGGCAAGCGUUGUCCGGAUUUAUUGGGCGUAAAGCGAGCGCAGGCGGUUUCUUAAGUCUGAUGUGAAAGCCCCCGGCUCAACCGGGGAGGGUCAUUGGAAACUGGGAGACUUGAGUGCAGAAGAGGAGAGUGGAAUUCCAUGUGUAGCGGUGAAAUGCGUAGAUAUAUGGGGGAACACCAGUGGCGAGAGCGGCUCUCUGGUCUGUAACUGACGCUGAGGCUCGAAAGCGUGGGGAGCAAACAGG